GGCUGCAACUCGCCUGUAUGAAGUCGGAAUUGCUAGUAAUCGCGGAUCAGCAUGCCGCGGUGAAUACGUUCCCGGGCCUUGUACACACCGCCCGUCACACCAUGAGAGCCGGGAACACCCGAAGUCCGUAGUCUAACCGCAAGGAGGACGCGGCCGAAGGUGGGUUUGGUAAUUGGGGUGAAGUCGUAACAAGGUACC
rnacentral:rRNA from 1 species